CCCUACGGGAGGCAGCAGUGAGGAAUAUUGGUCAAUGGUCGGGAGACUGAACCAGCCAAGCCGCGUGAGGGAUGAAGGUACAGAGUAUCGUAAACCUCUUUUGUCAGGGAACAAAGGCGGGGACGUGUCCCCGGAUGAGUGUACCUGAAGAAAAAGCAUCGGCUAACUCCGUGCCAGCAGCCGCGGUAAUACGGAGGAUGCGAGCGUUAUCCGGAUUUAUUGGGUUUAAAGGGUGCGUAGGCGGGUUAUCAAGUCAGCGGUAAAAUCGUGGAGCUCAACUCCAUCCAGCCGUUGAAACUGAUGAU
rnacentral:rRNA from 1 species